GUGGGAUGGGGGCACCUGAUCCAGCAUGCCGCGUGUGUGAAGAAGGCCUUCGGGUUGUAAAGCACUUUUGUCCGGAAAGAAAACGUUCUGGUUAAUACCUGGGGCGGAUGACGGUACCGGAAGAAUAAGCACCGGCUAACUACGUGCCAGCAGCCGCGGUAAUACGUAGGGUGCGAGCGUUAAUCGGAAUUACUGGGCGUAAAGCGUGCGCAGGCGGUUUUGUAAGACAGGCGUGAAAUCCCCGAGCUCAACUUGGGAAUUGCGCUUGUGACUGCAAGGCUAGAGUAUGUCAGAGGGGGGUAGAAUUCCACGUGUAGCAGUGAAAUGCGUAGAGAUGUGGAGGAAUACCGAUGGCGAAGGCAGCCCCCUGGGACGUCACUGACGCUCAUGCACGAAAGCGUGGGGAGCAAACAGGAUUAGAUACCCUGGUAGUCCACGCCCUAAACGAUGUCAACUAGUUGUUGGGGAUUCAUUUCUUCAGUAACGUAGCUAACGCGUGAAGUUGACCGCCUGGGGAGUACGGUCGCAAGAUUAAAACUCAAGAAAUAUUUGAAACGGAA
rnacentral:rRNA from 1 species